CCUACGGGGGGCUGCAGUGGGGAAUAUUGCACAAUGGGCACAAGCCCGAUGCAGCCAUGCCGCGUGUGUGAAGAAGGCCUUCGGGUUGUAAAGCACUUUCGGCGGGGAGGAAGGCGUUAAGGUUAAUAACCUUGUCGAUUGACGUUACCCGCAGAAGAAGCACCGGCUAACUCCGUGCCAGCAGCCGCGGUAAUACGGAGGGUGCAAGCGUUAAUCGGAAUUACUGGGCGUAAAGCGCACGCAGGCGGUCUGUCAAGUCGGAUGUGAAAUCCCCGGGCUCAACCUGGGAACUGCAUUCGAAACUGGCAGGCUAGAGUCUUGUAGAGGGGGGUAGAAUUCCAGGUGUAGCGGUGAAAUGCGUAGAGAUCUGGAGGAAUACCGGUGGCGAAGGCGGCCCCCUGGACAAAGACUGACGCUCAGGUGCGAAAGCGUGGGGAGCAAACAGGAUUAGAUACCCCAGUAGUC
rnacentral:rRNA from 1 species